rnacentral:rRNA from 1 species
AACCAGACUCCUACGGGAGGUAGCAGUGGGGGAUAUUGCACAAUGGGGGAAACCCUGAUGCAGCGACGCCGCGUGAGUGAAGAAGUACUUCGUUAUGUAAAGCUCUAUCAGCAGGGAAGAAAAUGACGGUACCUGAGUAAGAAGCCCCGGCUAACUACGUGCCAGCAGCCGCGGUAAUACGUAGGGGGCAAGCGUUAUCCGGAUUUACUGGGUGUAAAGGGAGCGUAGACGGUGAGACAAGUCUGAAGUGAAAGCCCGGGGCUCAACCCCGGGACUGCUUUGGAAACUGCCUGACUGGAGUGCUGGAGAGGCAAGCGGAAUUCCUAGUGUAGCGGUGAAAUGCGUAGAUAUUAGGAAGAACGCCAGUGGCGAAGGCGGCUUGCUGGACAGUAACUGACGUUGAGGCUCGAAAGCGUGGGGAGCAAACAGGAUUAGAUCCCCCAGUA